GGUCAGUGAUGAACAGUAAAAGGUCUGAUUACCCACAAUCCUCUCCUGCUGCCCUCUGGCUCCCAGCAGUCUCUGCUCUCUGCUCCCAUUAUGCUCUAGUGAUGCAAUGUUGGCCCCAGGAGCUGCUGACAUAAAGGAAGUGAUAUCGCAGUUUGAGUCUGUACCAAGAUCCUAUAGGCUCAGUGUGACGACAUCCAACAGAACUAAUCAGCACGGAGCGUCAGGCUGAGGAGGAGGAGGGAGCUGAUCUGAAGUUUUCAACCUGAGACC